rnacentral:rRNA from 1 species
GAUGAACGCUGGCGGCGUGCCUAAUACAUGCAAGUCGAGCGAACAGACGAGGAGCUUGCUCCUCUGACGUUAGCGGCGGACGGGUGAGUAACACGUGGAUAACCUACCUAUAAGACUGGGAUAACUUCGGGAAACCGGAGCUAAUACCGGAUAAUAUAUUGAACCGCAUGGUUCAAUAGUGAAAUACGGUUUUGCUGUCACUUAUAGAUGGAUCCGCGCCGCAUUAGCUAGUUGGUAAGGUAACGGCUUACCAAGGCAACGAUGCGUAGCCGACCUGAGAGGGUGGUAGGCCACACUGGAAGUGAGACAGGGACCAGACUCCUACGGGAGGCAGCAGUAGGGAAUCUUCCGCAAUGGGGGAGAGCCUGACGGAGCAACGCCGCGUGAGUGAUGAAGGUCUCCGGAUCGGAAAACUCUGUUAUUAGGGAAGAACAAAUGUGUAAGUAACUAUGCACGUAUUGACGGUACCGAAUCAGAAAGCCACGGCUAACUACGUG